rnacentral:rRNA from 1 species
GACGAACGCUGGCGGCGUGCUUAACACAUGCAAGUCGAACGGUGAAGGGACCGGUUUUUGCUGGUUCUGGAUGAGUGGCGAACGGGUGAGUAACACGUGAGUAACCUGCCCCCUUCUUCUGGAUAACCGCAUGAAAGUGUGGCUAAUACGGGAUAUUCUGCGCCUGCUGCAUGGUGGGUGUGGGAAAGAUAUUGUUUCGGUGGGGGAUGGGCUCGCGGCCUAUCAGCUUGUUGGUGGGGGGAUGGCCUACCAAGGCGGUGACGGGUAGCCGGCCUGAGAGGGUGGACGGUCACACUGGGACUGCGACACGGCCCAGACUCCUACGGGAGGCAGCAGUGGGGAAUAUUGCACAAUGGGCGCAAGCCUGAUGCAGCGACGCCGCGUGAGGGAUGGAGGCCUUCGGGUUGUAAACCUCUUUCGCCAGUGAAGCAGGCCUGUCCCUUUUGUGGGUGGGUUGACGGUAGCUGGAUAAGAAGCGCCGGCUAACUACGUG